GCCUAACGGUCAGCUUGUACGUCGAUCGGGCGGUCUGCGGCCCGGAAGUGGUGUUGCCGAGCCGGGACCCUGUUUUCCCAAGUCUGUUUCUCCGACGUCGGCCCUUAAAACCUCCCCAUUUUUCGGACUCACCGCCGGCUCAAGACUCCUUACAGACGAGUUAAAGUUACUCCCUAUUUUGGGAACCUGUCUUAGGGAACGGGUAAUAGAGGGUGUCCCACCUCACGGUGGAGUCGUUUCCAAGUCCAGUGACGCGAACAGUCUUUCAUCCUCAAGAAAAGGGAAGACUGAGACUCGAUGGAGUGGGCAGACGUCUAAAGUUAACCGAACGGACCAGAACUUGUGUUCACUGAUGAUUGGGGAGGUACCCUGACACCGACCUGGGCGUGGGGAGCAAGAAUCGCCACAUUGUCGCAUAUUAGAUUUUCUGACGUUCAAACUAAAAUUUCAUAGUAUUUUGUUAAGCUUGAGCCGGAUACAUAUGAUGGCAUAUAAAGAGCUAAGGUGCCCUCAAUUUAUUUUCAACAAUUUGGUGGAAAUGGUAACUGCUAAACCCUACUUAACGUUCACAUGUGCCACUUGGCUGUUCCAAAUCUGUGUGGAGGCCGGGUAGGGAAGGAUCUCUUUUAGGGCGUACAGCUGGUAUCGUUGCCCUGGUCUAAGCCCUUGGGCAGCACCUUCAGUGUGAAUUUUAUGUGGAUGGUGGCCUUUCCUGUGCUCCUGGCAUUGUUGUCCAUGUGAUUGUGAUGUUUCACCUGUAGGCCUUCCUAGUCUGCAUGUGAGCAGUUUGAGGCAAAAGGAAACAGGUACAGAUCAGGUGCGUCUCCCAUGGGAGACCUGAUUAUUCUCAGGAGCCUGGGCCAGGAAGGAAGGACUGCUGCUACUUCCUUCACCUGGAGAUUCAGGGGGUCCCCUUGCCUGGCAGUUUUGCCACUGGCUUCAGAAUCCCAUGGACAGAGGAGCCUGGUGGGCUACAGUCCACGGGGUCGCAAAGAGUCAGAAACGACUGAGUGAUUUCACUUUCUUUCUUCAGAGCAACUGGAUUUGAAAGCUGAUGGCUGAGGCUGAUUGACAG
ensembl:lncRNA